rnacentral:rRNA from 1 species
UACGAAGGGGGCUAGCGUUGUUCGGAAUCACUGGGCGUAAAGCGCACGCAGGCGGAUUGAUAAGUCGGGGGUGAAAUCCCGGGGCUCAACCUCGGAAUUGCCUUCGAUACUGUCUGUCUUGAGUCCGGGAGAGGUGAGUGGAAUUCCUAGUGUAGAGGUGAAAUUCGUAGAUAUUAGGAAGAGCACCAGUGGCGAAGGCGGCUCACUGGCCCGGUACUGACGCUCAUGUGCGAAAGCGUGGGGAGCAAACAGG